rnacentral:tRNA from 1 species
GACUUUAAAAAUCGUGAGGGUUCAAGUCCCUCUAUCCCCA